UACGUAGGGGGCAAGCGUUGUUCGGAAUUACUGGGCGUAAAGGGCGCGUAGGCGGCACGGCAAGUCAGGAGUGAAAGCCCUGGGCUCAACCCGGGAACUGCUUUUGAAACUGCCGAGCUAGAGUGCGGAAGGGGCAACUGGAAUUCCCAGUGUAGCGGUGAAAUGCGUAGAUAUUGGGAAGAACACCUGAGGCGAAGGCGGCUCACUGGUCCAUUACUGACGCUGAGGUGCGAAAGCGUGGGGAGCAAACAGG
rnacentral:rRNA from 1 species